rnacentral:rRNA from 1 species
AAUGAACGCUGGCGGCAGGCCUAACACAUGCAAGUCGAACGAAGGCUUCGGCCUUAGUGGCGCACGGGUGCGUAACGCGUGGGAAUCUGCCCCUCGGUUCGGAAUAACAGUUAGAAAUGACUGCUAAUACCGGAUGAUGACUUCGGUCCAAAGAUUUAUCGCCGAGGGAUGAGCCCGCGUAAGAUUAGGUAGUUGGUGGGGUAAAGGCCUACCAAGCCGACGAUCUUUAGCUGGUCUGAGAGGAUGAUCAGCCACACUGGGACUGAGACACGGCCCAGACUCCUACGGGAGGCAGCAGUGGGGAAUAUUGGACAAUGGGCGAAAGCCUGAUCCAGCAAUGCCGCGUGAGUGAUGAAGGCCUUAGGGUUGUAAAGCUCUUUUACCAGGGAUGAUAAUGACAGUACCUGGAGAAUAAGCACCGGCUAACUACGUGCCAGCAGCCGCCGUAA